rnacentral:tRNA from 4 species
GGGUAAUUAGCUCAGUUGGUAGAGCAGCUGACUCUUAAUCAGCGGGUCGGGGGUUCAAACCCCUCAUUACCCA